CUUGAUUGUAAAUGGAAUGUGGACGAUGGAGGCUGACAUCCUGGGCUGAACAGAAGCGGAACUGACCUUUUGAUACUAGACGUGAGAUGACAGGCUUCAGAAAUUGAGCUUCAGCUCAAGCCACAAUGUCUACACAGCCCUGUGAGCUUCCAUCCAUCCAGCUGGGCUCUGAGACGUGUUCUGCAAGCUGUAUAGGCAUAUCCUGAAAGCCCCGGAGACCGGAGGUGAUUCCUACAGCUGUUGUCACUGCUGAGCAAGUCUUGGGACUCAGCCUUAGACCUUGUGUGGGAACAGUGAAAGGCAAUACAGAAACUGCACUGGCAGUGAGGUUCCCCACUACCUGCGGGAAACACUGAGAGCUGUAGGUGGUGGAACCUCAGAAUGUGAUGUCACAGCAGCUGUGGCAGCAGAGAGACAGGGGACAGCGGCAGCAGAGAAAGAGUGGUGGUGGCAGUGGUGAGCCAGUUGCAGAGGCUGCAGCAGCAGAGCCAUUGCUCAGUUCCCCUCUCUAGGGGUCAAACAUGAACCCUGUGAACGCACCUCUGAACUCUGGGUGUUUGUUGCAGCAGAGGGAGAGGGGAGUGAUGUGUUAGAGGGGCAUUUGUUUGUCAGACUUUCCCAUUGCAGGUGGGAAACUGAGGCAAAGGACACUGCCCAAUGUGUUGUGAAGUCAGGUUUGCUUAUGGUCAUAUGAUUUUGAAGGUGGCUGUGGUGUUUUCCCAAAUAAAUGCUUGGUUCCUUUUCCCUUUUCAUAAAAGUUCUCUAUUGUUAUAAACAGACU